rnacentral:rRNA from 1 species
CACGGGGGGAGCAAGCGUUGUUCGGAAUCACUGGGCGUAAAGGGCGUGUAGGCGGUCAAGUAAGUGGAACGUGAAAUCCCUCGGCUCACCCGAGGACCUGCGUCCCAAACUGCUUGGCUUGAGUAUGGGAGAGGAUGAGGGAAUUCCUGGUGUAGCGGUGAAAUGCGUAGAUAUCAGGAGGAACACCGGUGGCGAAGGCGCUCAUCUGGGCCCAAUACUGACGCUGAGGCGCGAAAGCUAGGGGAGCAAACGGG